CUCUCUCUCUCUCUCUCUCUCUCUCUCUCUCUCUCUCUCUCUCUUCGAGCUUCAAUCGGCGGCACCCCUCUUGCCGAAAAUCCCAAAAUUACCUCUCGUCCCUCAUCCCUCCAACCACCCCUCUCUCACUCCUCCGUUAAUCUUUCUUUCAAAUGACCAUCGAAGAGCCCAUCUCUCUUGUGUUCAUGAGCGUUAUGUUAUGCGAUUAAAGAAAAAAGUGAAGUUUUAAGAAAGAAAACAAUCUAACAAAAAAGGCCAUAAGAAAACAACCGAGGAUGAUUUCUACAACUUUGAAUUUAUAUUAUUUGAAUCACUUGUUGGACCAAUAGUGAGUGGAAAAUGGGAGACUUUUCUACUAAAAGAAAAGAUUUUAUUUUGGGAAAGAGGGGACUACGGAAGCGAAAAGCUCCCAUCAUGAUCGAAGAGAAUUCAAACUAUUGAGAAAUAAAUGCAAAGUUUAAAAACUUAAAAAUAUGACAACCUUCCCUCGCACCAGGAUACAUUUCUUCAUUCUUUUCACUAGCUUGCUGAAAAGUUGUAAGUAGUAUAGUGUCUUAUUUUAUGUGUACAAAGAAUUCUUAAGUUUUCUAUAUUUAUAUUAGUUAAAAAAUAACUUAAUAAAAUACAAUGCCUAAGCUGAAAUCACAUAAUGA